GUUUACCGUAGCUUAAGCCCCCCACCAAAAGCACGGCACUGAAGUUGCCGAGAUGGCCAACACCUAGCGCCCGGAAACA
rnacentral:tRNA from 1 species